rnacentral:rRNA from 1 species
UACGAAGGGGGCUAGCGUUGCUCGGAAUUACUGGGCGUAAAGCGCACGUAGGCGGCUUUGUAAGUUAGAGGUGAAAGCCCGGAGCUCAACUCCGGAAUUGCCUUUAAGACUGCAUCGCUAGAAUUGUGGAGAGGUAAGUGGAAUUCCGAGUGUAGAGGUGAAAUUCGUAGAUAUUCGGAAGAACACCAGUGGCGAAGGCGACUUACUGGACACAUAUUGACGCUGAGGUGCGAAAGCGUGGGGAGCAAACAGG